AAAGCAUCAUGCACCAAGUUCAUCUCACGGUUACAUUAGAAAUGCAACCCCAGGGGAGGUAAUGAAAGAGAAGAUAGAUUAGUCCUUCAUGAAACUCUUUCUCCAUGACUUGUUACCCAGUUCCCAGUCCUGGGCUCUGUCCCCUUCCCCCUGCUGCAGCUGAUGACUUUCUGAGCACUUAAGGCAGUGCAAGGAGCAUAAGAAAAAGUGGCAAGGAUGAAAGCAUUGUCAAGUUCUCAACAGACACCACGGCGCUGGUGUUAGCAAUUGCUUUUCCUGGAAGGCCCAGGAGACAGGCAGAAUUUGAACAGGACUGUGUACUAGGAGGGAAUAGGAGAGGACAGCAUGACUGACCCGGGGUCUCCAAUUUCCUCAUGGACCUGAUGAGGUUACUGUGGCUAUAGAUGACUCUGGAGACGAGCAAAUUCAUCUGUAAAAAGGUUCUUUCAGAGAGAGAGUGAUUGACACACAAGCUGAACCCUAGAAGAGGGAGAAAACAGAACCGUCGUCUUUGACUUCA